AAGGAAUAUUGGUCAAUGGACGCAAGUCUGAACCAGCCAUGCCGCGUGAAGGAUGAAGGUCUUCUGGAUUGUAAACUUCUUUUAUCUGGGACGAAAACGGGAUUUUUAUCUCAAUUGACGGUACCAGAGGAAUAAGCACCGGCUAACUCCGUGCCAGCAGCCGCGGUAAUACGGAGGGUGCGAGCGUUAUCCGGAUUUACUGGGUUUAAAGGGUGCGUAGGUGGGCUUAUAAGUCAGUGGUGAAAUCUCCGAGCUUAACUUGGAAACUGCCGUUGAUACUAUAGGUCUUGAAUUAUCUGGAGGUAAGCGGAAUAUGUCAUGUAGCGGUGAAAUGCUUAGAUAUGACAUAGAACACCAAUUGCGAAGGCAGCUUACUACAUAUAAAUUGACGCUGAGGCACGAAAGCGUGGGGAUCAAACA
rnacentral:rRNA from 1 species